rnacentral:rRNA from 1 species
AUGGAGGAACAAUUAGAAGGAGAAGAAGGUGACUGGAACUAUGAUUCAGAUGAUGAAGAUUUCAGUUAUGAUGAAGAUUCAGAUGGAGAAUUAGUGAAGAGGAAGAGCCAGUUUCCAAGAUAUAACAAUGAUACUGAGAUACCUCAUUUUGAAGUAAGCAUGGUGUUCAGAAGCAAAAACCAGCUGUGCAAAGCUUUGAGAAAAUAUGGUCUUGUUACAAAGAGAAGCAUCAGGUUUGUUAAAUCUGAGAAUGACAGGGUGAGGGCCAAGUGUGGAUGGCCUGGUUGUCCUUGGCUAAUCUAUGCAGCCAAUACAUCAAGAACAUCAAGAAUGCAGGUGAUAACUUACAAUGAUUUUCAUGAAUGUGCACAGAAUAGAUGCAACAAACUUGUUACUGCAAAGGUCAUUGCACAAAGAUAUGAACAUUUCAUAUUAGCAAAUCCAAUGUGGAAAAUUGAAAGCAUUAAAGCAACUGUUCUACAAGACAUGUUUGCUGAUGUUUCAACCUCCAAGUGCAAGCAUGCAAAGAAAAUUGUGAUGGAUAGAUUGAUGUCUGGA